UAGAGUGCGAUGGCUGCGUCUGCGGCCUUGGCUAGCUUCGUGACUGGCUGCUACAAGCGGCAUGACCCAUUUCAGACCGGUCACCAUCGCCGGACUCGCUCCUUCGUAAAUUUCACCCGAAUAUCGUUGUUGGGUUCUUCUUCCAGCGUCUCUCACUGCUGCUUCGUCGCCGUUUCCUGGUCUUCAAUGACCAGGGGCCACCUCGCAAGACCUAAGGCGCUGUCAGGCCAUGGGCCGAGGCUGAGGCCGAGGCCGAGGAGGAGGCCGAGGAGGAGGCCGAGGAGGAGGCCGAGGCACGUCGAUAAGGUAUGCAUGGAAGUCACGGCAUUUUCCCGCGGCUAAAAAAUUUGGUUUUCCCUCGUGGAUGUUUUACAUUCGGACGUGUCGGAUCAAACAAGCAGUCGGUGAUACCAGUGUGCUUUUACACCGAAGCUGUUUAGAGAAAACGAAAGAAUCUUAGGGAGGUGAAGCACGGAAAUGUUCGAGUGUGUGGGUUUAAUUAUUGGGUGAACGAAAAAUUGCUCUAACCUGGAUUUCUGCCUAAUGGGUGCUUCGUGUUUAAACUUAGCGGAAGCACUGAUUGCGAACAGUUUGCAUGUCUAACAGUCAUGGCGAAGCACCUGGCAUGCAACCGCGUGUGUAUUGCUUUCCGCGCUACCUUGUGAAAAGUGCGGCUCGUACUUAUAGUGUAACCACACACAAAGCUCAUUCGUCUUUACAAUAUGCGUAAUUCUAAUGAAUAGGAGAUGCGACAACAGUAAACGAAUAUAUUUGACUAUAACUACGAUGACCAGCUGUAGAAAGUAGGGAAAGUAGGGAAAGUAGGGAAUUUGAACUUGAGGUGAAGGUGGCACAAGUCUAAAACAACGGAGAGAGAGAGAGAGAGAGAGAACAGGGGACGACCGAAGGCAAACAUGAUCUCCUCAAUGGAUUAUGCGCGAGCAAAGCAAAGCUGCACAUCUGAAGGCACGCGUGAUUAUUCAGCGUAGAUUUUCAUUUAGCCAAUACCCCUAAUGUGCUUUUCUUGUAAAUACAUUGAUUGAGUGAGCUUCGCACAAGAGCGUACCUUAAAAAAAAACUUUUAUUGCCGAGGAAAGGAGGAACUUGGCAACGAAGCACGUUUUUUCUUUUGCUUUUUUUCUUCACACUGUUCACUUCCUUAAUCGUAUCGUAGUGUAUGUCG